rnacentral:rRNA from 1 species
CCUUGGCGUCUCAGAGAGUUUGAUUAUGGCUCAGGAUGAACGCUAGCGAUAGGCCUAACACAUGCAAGUCGAGGGGCAGCACAUGAAGCAGCAAUGCGGACGGUGGCGACCGGCGCACGGGUGAGUAACGCGCAUGCAACCUACCUACAACAGGGGAAUAACCCGUUGAAAAACGGACUAAUACCCCAUAAAACAGGGAUCCCGCAUGGGAAUAUUUGUUAAAGAUUUAUCGGUUGUAGAUGGGCAUGCGUUCCAUUAGCUAGUUGGUGAGGUAACGGCUCACCAAGGCAACGAUGGAUAGGGGAACUGAGAGGUUUAUCCCCCCACACUGGUACUGAGACACGGACCAGACUCCUACGGGAGGCAGCAGUGAGGAAUAUUGGUCAAUGGGCGCAAGCCUGAACCAAGCCACGUCGCGUGAAGGAAGACGGCCCUACGGGUUGUAAACUUCUUUUGUAAGGGAAUAAAGUGUAGUACGUGUACUAUUUUGCAUGUACCUUACGAAUAAGGAUCGGCUAACUCCGUGCCAGCAGCGGC